rnacentral:rRNA from 1 species
GACGAACGCUGGCGGCGUGCUUAACACAUGCAAGUCGAACGGAAAGGCCUCUUUCGGGGGGUACUCGAGUGGCGAACGGGUGAGUAACACGUGAGUAACCUGCCCUUGACUUUGGGAUAACUUCAGGAAACUGGGGCUAAUACCGGAUAGGAGCUCCUGCUGCAUGGUGGGGGUUGGAAAGUUUCGGCGGUUGGGGAUGGACUCGCGGCUUAUCAGCUUGUUGGUGGGGUAGUGGCUUACCAAGGCUUUGACGGGUAGACGGCCUGGGGGGGUGACCGGCCACAUUGGGACUGAGAUACGGCCCAGGCUCCUACGGGAGGCAGCAGUGGGGAAUAUUGCACAAUGGGUGGAAGCCUGAUGCAGCAACGCCGUGUGCGGGAUGACGGCCUUCGGGUUGUAAACCGCUUUCGCUCAUGACGAAGCUUUGUGUGACGGUAGUGGGUAAAGAAGCACCGGCUAACUACGUG